rnacentral:rRNA from 1 species
GACGAACGCUGGCGGCGUGCCUAAUACAUGCAAGUAGAACGCACAGUUUAUACCGUAGCUUGCUACACCAUAGACUGUGAGCUGCGAACGGGUGAGUAACGCGUAGGUAACCUGCCUGGUAGCGGGGGAUAACUAUUGGAAACGAUAGCUAAUACCGCAUAAUAUUGAUUAUUGCAUGAUAAUUGAUUGAAAGAUGCUAUUGCAUCACUACCAGAUGGACCUGCGUUGUAUUAGCUAGUAGGUGAGGUAACGGCUCACCUAGGCGACGAUACAUAGCCGACCUGAGAGGGUGAUCGGCCACACUGGGACGGAGACACGGCCCAGACUACUACGGGAGGCAGCAGUAGGGAAGCGUCGGCAAUGGACGAAAGUCUGACCGAGCAACGCCGCGUGAGUGAAGAAGGUUUUCGGAUCGUAAAGCUCUGUUGUAAGAGAAGAACGGGUGUGAGAGUGGAAAGUUCACACUGUGACGGUAUCUUACCAGAAAGGGACGGCUAACUACGUG